AUGUAGAUUUUCAAAUGAUGAAAGUCACAAAAGUGAGCUAUUUUUGUUUUACUUCAAAUAAUUCAACAUGAAAAAUACAAAUACAUAUAAAUAUUUUUUGUGCCAAAAUCUAAAGCAGAUGUCAGUUUGACCUUUUUAACUACUUUUUUGCACAAGGAGAUGAUGUUAUUGAACUGGCUACGUACAUUCAGUUUUACCUAGUAUGGUUGUACUAGUAAUGCAAGCACUGCUUCCAAGGUUUUAUAGAGAUCAGUAGCCAUCCAACUAUGAAAUGCAUGCAAACCAAUCUGCAUACACUAGCGAACAUUGAAACAAAGAACCCCUGUUUCUCAACUUUGAACUUUUGUAUGGGUUUUCCCUCAACUUAUUGUAUCCGUGAGUCUGAACUGAUGCAAUUAUAUAAGAAUACCAAACAUUUAUGACCUGAACCUGAAAAGGAUCCAAGACAGGUUGCCCUGGAACUGCAACUUGUAUCUUUUACUGCUCAUCUUUAACAUUAAGAAAGUACUAAUCAGUACUAGUAUUUGUGUAAGUCAUACUGAUCAGUACUGCUACUUUCCGUACUGAUGAGCACUAGUACUGAUCGCUAACACAUAGAAUUUUUCAUCUAGUUGACUUUUAACAUUAUAUUAGAAAAAGUGAGCUACAAAAUAAAAAACUAGAUUAGAAUAGAUGCAUUGGCUUAUAUUAGAAACGAUGAGCUACGAAAUAAACAACCAGGUACGAAUUUGCUUCAAGUCAGGUUUUCUAUUUUUUGAAUUUGAUGCAUGUUGCAGUAUAGGACUACUACUGGUUUGCAAGUUGGACUUGAGUACUUUUAAAUUGUUUGCAUAGUUUACUGCCGAAAUUUGAACCACAAAGGAACACAUCCGCAUUACUAAUUGUAUAUAGCAAAACUGAACUUUCUGCGUCUACUGUUGUUUUUACAGAGUGGACUUAUGUUUUCUUAUAUACUUGAACUACUAAAGUUUUUGAAAAUUGCCACUAUCACACAUGUUAUACUUGAAAACCCUUGCCAGACUAGGCACCCAUCCUGCACAACAAAUCAUCCCCCAAGUAAAUUGUAGUAGCCUCUCUCUCUAUGUCUCUUUUUUGCAUCUCUCUCUCUAUGUCUCUUUUUUGCAUCUAUGAGAAGUCCCCCGAAGAACUCCUGAACUUUCAGUUGGAUCAAAAUCUAGAUUACAAGAAAAAUGGCCUUCAUGGAUGGCAGUAUGUGAACUGAAGAGUAGGAGAGGAGGAGCACGAAGGUGUUUCUCACCAAUCGUGUUCCUGAUGGCGUGGUGGAUGGCAAGAAUCGUUGGCUGAACAGGAGGUCGAUGCGUCGUGGAAGGAACUCUAGGGGUAAUAGAAGUGAACCUGUGACGAAGAAUAGAAAUCAAAAAGAAUUUUUUUGGAGGUGGAAUAAGACGUCAGAGAUCGGGUGGAGCGGCUACACCUCCUCCUCUGGACUGAUUCUCUGGUGAAGUGGAGCUGAUGGAGGCGGAGAUCACGAGCAGCGCGAUUUGGCCACUGCAGGGAAUCCUAGUGACUACCAAGUCAUCCUUGCUAUUCCAGGAUGACGUCCAGAGCACUGCAAUGGGGGUAGAGGAGCCGGCGUCGCUGGAGGGAAUCGCGACUAGAGCAAAUAAGUUUAGACAGAAGCUAUUUGCUUUGUAUUCCUGGUGGUGUUUAUUCAGCAAGGGCACCAGGGAUGACUAAGCAAAUAAGUUUAGCCAUCCCUAUGUUGUUUAUUCA